rnacentral:rRNA from 1 species
GACGAACGCUGGCGGCGUGCUUAACACAUGCAAGUCGAACGGUGAAGCGCCUUCCUUUUUGGUGGGUGUGGAUGAGUGGCGAACGGGUGAGUAACACGUGAGUAACCUGCCCCCUUCUUCUGGAUAACCGCAUGAAAGUGUGGCUAAUACGGGAUAUUCUGGGUCUGUCGCAUGAUGGGUCUGGGAAAGAUAUUGUUUCGGUGGGGGAUGGGCUCGCGGCCUAUCAGCUUGUUGGUGGGGUGAUGGCCUACCAAGGCGGUGACGGGUAGCCGGCCUGAGAGGGUGGACGGUCACACUGGGACUGAGACGCGGCCCAGACUCCUACGGGAGGCAGCAGUGGGGAAUAUUGCACAAUGGGCGCAAGCCUGAUGCAGCGACGCCGCGUGAGGGAUGGAGGCCUUCGGGUUGUGAACCUCUUUCGCCAGUGAAGCAGGCCUGCCUCGUUUGUGGGUGGUUUGACGGUAGCUGGAUAAGAAGCGCCGGCUAACUACGUG